UACAGAGGUGGCAAGCGUUGUUCGGAAUUACUGGGCGUAAAGGGCGCGUAGGCGGUCUUGUAAGUCUCGUGUGAAAUCCCUCGGCUUAACUGAGGAACUGCACGGGAUACUGCUUGACUUGAGUUCGGGAGAGGGAAGCGGAAUUCCGGUGUAGCGGUGAAAUGCGUAGAUAUCCGGAGGAACACCGGUGGCGAAGGCGGCUUCCUGGACCGGCACUGACGCUGAGGCGCGAAAGCGUGGGGAGCAAACAGG
rnacentral:rRNA from 1 species